rnacentral:rRNA from 1 species
GAGUUUGAUCCUGGCUCAGAUUGAACGCUGGCGGCAGGCCUAACACAUGCAAGUCGAGCGGAAACGAUGGGAGCUUGCUCCCAGGCGUCGAGCGGCGGACGGGUGAGUAACACGUGGGAAUCUGCCCAUUAGUGGGGGAUAACUCGGGGAAACUCGAGCUAAUACCGCAUAAUCCCUACGGGGGAAAGCAGGGGACCUUCGGACCUUGCGCUGAUGGAUGAGCCCGCGUCGGAUUAGCUUGUUGGUGGGGUAAUGGCCCACCAAGGCGACGAUCCGUAACUGGUCUGAGAGGAUGGCCAGUCACACCGGGACUGAGACACGGCCCGGACUCCUACGGGAGGCAGCAGUGGGGAAUCUUGGACAAUGGGCGCAAGCCUGAUCCAGCCAUGCCGCGUGUGUGAAGAAGGCCUUCGGGUUGUAAAGCACUUUCAGUAGGGAGGAAGGCUUUGGGCUAAUACCCUGGAGUACUUGACGUUACCUACAGAAGAAGCACCGGCUAAUUUCGUGCCAGCAGCCGCG